UACGAACUGUGCAAACGUUAUUCGGAUUCACUGGGCUUAAAGGGUGCGUAGGCGGCCAUGUAAGUAGGGUGUGAAAUCCCCCGGCUUAACCGGGGAACUGCGCCCUAAACUGUGUGGCUUGAGUGAGAUAGGGGUGUGUGGAACUUCCGGUGGAGCGGUGAAAUGUGUUGAUAUCGGAAGGAACGCCGGUGGCGAAAGCGACACACUGGGUCUCAACUGACGCUGAGGCACGAAAGCCAGGGAGCGAACGGG
rnacentral:rRNA from 1 species